rnacentral:rRNA from 1 species
GGGGAAUAUUGGACAAUGGGGGCAACCCUGAUCCAGCCAUGCCGCGUGAGUGACGAAGGCCUUAGGGUUGUAAAGCUCUUUUGGCGGGGACGAUAAUGACGGUACCCGCAGAAUAAGUCCCGGCUAACUUCGUGCCAGCAGCCGCGGUAAUACGAAGGGGACUAGCGUUGUUCGGAAUUACUGGGCGUAAAGCGCACGUAGGCGGAUUUGUUAGUCAGGGGUGAAAUCCCGGGGCUCAACCUCGGAACUGCCUUUGAUACUGCAAGUCUUGAGUCCGAGAGAGGUGAGUGGAAUUCCUAGUGUAGAGGUGAAAUUCGUAGAUAUUAGGAAGAACACCAGUGGCGAAGGCGGCUCACUGGCUCGGUACUGACGCUGAGGUGCGAAAGCGUGGGGAGCAAAC